rnacentral:rRNA from 1 species
CCUACGGGAGGCAGCAGUGAGGAAUAUUGGUCAAUGGUCGGGAGACUGAACCAGCCAAGCCGCGUGAGGGAUGAAGUUACAGAUUAUCGUAAACCUCUUUUGUCAGGGAACAAAGGCGGGGACGUGUCCCCGGAUGAGUGUACCUGAAGAAACAGCAUCGGCUAACUCCGUGCCAGCAGCCGCGGUAAUCCGGAGGAUGCGGGCGUUAUCCGGUUUUAUGGGGUUUACAGGGUGCGCAGGCGGUCUGUUAAGUCAGCGGUAACAGCCCGGGGUUAAACCCCGGCCCGCCGUUGAAACUGGCAGUCUCGAGUGGGAGAGAAGUAUGCGGAAUGCGCGGUGUAGCGGUGAAAUGCAUAGAUAUCGCGCAGAACUCCGAUUGCGAAGGCAGCAUGCCGGCUCCACACUGACGCUGAGGCACGAAAGCGUGGGGAUCGAACAGGAUUAGAUACCCUGGUAGUC